rnacentral:rRNA from 1 species
AGAGUUUGAUCAUGGCUCAGGACGAACGCUGGCGGCGUGCUAAUACAUGCAAGUAGAACGCUGAAGAAAGGAGCUUGCUUCUUUGGAUGAGUUGCGAACGGGUGAGUAACGCGUAGGUAACCUGCCUUGUAGCGGGGGAUAACUAUUGGAAACGAUAGCUAAUACCGCAUAACAGCUUUUGACACAUGUUAGAAGCUUGAAAGAUGCAAUUGCAUCACUACGAGAUGGACCUGCGUUGUAUUAGCUAGUAGGUAGGGUAACGGCCUACCUAGGCGACGAUACAUAGCCGACCUGAGAGGGUGAUCGGCCACACUGGGACUGAGACACGGCCCAGACUCCUACGGGAGGCAGCAGUAGGGAAUCUUCGGCAAUGGGGGCAACCCUGACCGAGCAACGCCGCGUGAGUGAAGAAGGUUUUCGGAUCGUAAAGCUCUGUUGUAAGAGAAGAACGUGUGUGAGAGUGGAAAGUUCACACAGUGACGGUAACUUACCAGAAAGGGACGGCUAACUACGUGCCAGCAGCCGCGGUAAUACGUAGGUCCCGAGCGUUGUCCGGAUUUAUUGGGCGUAAAGCGAGCGCAGGCGGUUUAAUAAGUCUGAAGUUAAAGGCAGUGGCUUAACCAUUGUUCGCUUUGGAAACUGUUAAACUUGAGUGCAGAAGGGGAGAGUGGAAUUCCAUGUGUAGCGGUGAAAUGCGUAGAUAUAUGGAGGAACACCGGUGGCGAAAGCGGCUCUCUGGUCUGUAACUGACGCUGAGGCUCGAAAGCGUGGGGAGCAAACAGGAUUAGAUACCCUGGUAGUCCACGCCGUAAACGAUGAGUGCUAGGUGUUAGGCCCUUUCCGGGGCUUAGUGCCGCAGCUAACGCAUUAAGCACUCCGCCUGGGGAGUACGACCGUAAGGUUGAAACUCAAAGGAAUUGACGG